UGAGGAAUAUUGGUCAAUGGGCGGAAGCCUGAACCAGCCAAGUCGCGUGAGGGAAUAAGGCCCUACGGGUCGUAAACCUCUUUUGCCGGGGAGCAAGGGCGGGGACGUGUCCCGGCCCGGAGAGUACCCGGAGAAAAAGCAUCGGCUAACUCCGUGCC
rnacentral:rRNA from 1 species